UAUACUGCCAUGGGGAGCUGAGUUAUCGGCUGAGAAAGAACUAUUUGUUCUGACCCAAUGAACCUGAUCUGGGUAAUGCCAGCGGAGGGAUUGUUGCAAUUCUAUAUA
rnacentral:ncRNA from 1 species